GACGAACGCUGGCGGCGUGCCUAAUACAUGCAAGUAGAACGCUGAAGGAGGAGCUUGCUUCUCCGGAUGAGUUGCGAACGGGUGAGUAACGCGUAGGUAACCUGCCUGGUAGCGGGGGAUAACUAUUGGAAACGAUAGCUAAUACCGCAUAACAGUAGAUAUUGCAUGAUAUCUGCUUGAAAGGUGCAAUUGCAUCACUACCAGAUGGACCUGCGUUGUAUUAGCUAGUUGGUGAGGUAACGGCUCACCAAGGCGACGAUACAUAGCCGACCUGAGAGGGUGAUCGGCCACACUGGGACUGAGACACGGCCCAGACUCCUACGGGAGGCAGCAGUAGGGAAUCUUCGGCAAUGGACGGAAGUCUGACCGAGCAACGCCGCGUGAGUGAAGAAGGUUUUCGGAUCGUAAAGCUCUGUUGUAAGAGAAGAACGAGUGUGAGAGUGGAAAGUUCACACUGUGACGGUAUCUGACCAGAAAGGGACGGCUAACUACGUG
rnacentral:rRNA from 1 species